GACGAACGCUGGCGGCGUGCUUAACACAUGCAAGUCGAGCGGUAAGGCCCCAGCGUGGGUACAGGAGCGGGGAACGGGCGGGUAACACACGAGCAAGCAGCCCAUCACAGCCGGAGAACUCCGGGAAACCGAAGCCAAUACCGAAUACGACCACGACCGGCACCGGAGGGCUGCGGAAGGUUUGGGCGGUUGGGGAUGGGCUCGCGGCCGAUCAGCUUGUUGGUGGGGUAAGGGCUCACCAAGGCAUCGACGGGUAGCCGGCCUGAGAGGGUGACCGGCCACACUGGGAUUGAGACACGGCCCAGACUCCUACGGGAGGCAGCAGUGGGGAAUAUUGCACAAUGGGCGAAAGCCUGAUGCAGCAACGCCGCGUGAGGGAUGACGGCCUUCGGGUUGUAAACCUUUUUCAGCAGGGACGAAGCGAAAGUGACGGUACCUGCAGAAGAAGCGCCGGCCAACUACGUG
rnacentral:rRNA from 1 species